CAGUCGCCACGGUAAUACGAAGGGGGCUAGCGUUGCUCGGAAUGACUGGGCGUAAAGGGCGCGUAGGCGGCGAUCAAAGUUAGGCGUGAAGUUCCUGGGCUCAACCUGGGGGCUGCGCUUGAUACUUGGUUGCUUGAGUGGGGAAGAGGGUCGUGGAAUUCCCAGUGUAGAGGUGAAAUUCGUAGAUAUUGGGAAGAACACCUGUGGCGAAAGCGGCUCACUGGACAAUAACUGACGCUGAGGCACGAAAGCUAGGGGAGCAAACAGGAUUAGAUACCCGCGUAGUCCCUGUCUCUUAUAA
rnacentral:rRNA from 1 species